UGGGGAAUUUUGGACAAUGGGCGCAAGCCUGAUCCAGCAAUGCCGCGUGCAGGAUGAAGGCCUUCGGGUUGUAAACUGCUUUUGUACGGAACGAAAAGGCUCUGGCUAAUACCUGGGGCACAUGACGGUACCGUAAGAAUAAGCACCGGCUAACUACGUGCCAGCAGCCGCGGUAAUACGUAGGGUGCGAGCGUUAAUCGGAAUUACUGGGCGUAAAGCGUGCGCAGGCGGUUUUGUAAGACAGAGGUGAAAUCCCCGGGCUCAACCUGGAACUGCCUUUGUGACUGCAAGGCUGGAGUGCGGCAGAGGGGGAUGGAAUUCCGCGUGUAGCAGUGAAAUGCGUAGAUAUGCGGAGGAACACCGAUGGCGAAGGCAAUCCCCUGGGGCCUGCACUGACGCUCAUGCACGAAAGCGUGGGGGAGCAAACAGGAUUAGAUACCCCUGGUAGUCCACGCCCCUAAAGCGAUGUCAACUGGUUGUUGGGUCUU
rnacentral:rRNA from 1 species